rnacentral:rRNA from 1 species
UACGUAGGGACCAAGCGUUGUUCGGAUUUACUGGGCGUAAAGGGCGCGUAGGCGGCCUCUGCAAGUCGACUGUGAAAUCUCCGGGCUUAACCCGGAAAGGUCAGCCGAUACUGCAGGGCUAGAGUGCAGAAGGGGCAACUGGAAUUCUCGGUGUAGCGGUGAAAUGCGUAGAUAUCGAGAGGAACACCUGCGGCGAAGGCGGGUUGCUGGGCUGACACUGACGCUGAGGCGCGAAGGCGUGGGGAGCGAACGGG